CCUACGGGUGGCAGCAGUGAGGAAUAUUGGUCAAUGGCCGCAAGGCUGAACCAGCCAAGCCGCGUGAAGGAAGAAGGAUCUAUGGUUUGUAAACUCCUUUUAUAGGGGAAUAAAGGUAUCCACGUGUGGCUAUUUGCAUGUACCCUACGAAUAAGCAUCGGCUAACUCCGUGCCAGCAGCCGCGGUAAUACGGAGGAUUCGAGCGUUAUCCGGAUUUAUUGGGUUUAAAGGGUGCGUAGGUUGGUUGUUAAGUCAGCGGUGAAAGUUUGUGGCUCAACCAUAAAAUUGCCGUUGAUACUGGCAGACUUGAGUGUGUUUGAGGUAGGCGGAAUGCGUGGUGUAGCGGUGAAAUGCGUAGAUAUCACGCAGAACACCGAUUGCGAAGGCAGCUUACUAAGCCAUAACUGACGCUGAGGCACGAAAGCGUGGGGAUCAAACAGGAUUAGAUACCCCGGUAGUC
rnacentral:rRNA from 1 species